rnacentral:rRNA from 1 species
UACGAAGGGGGCUAGCGUUGCUCGGAAUUACUGGGCGUAAAGCGCACGUAGGCGGAUUGCUAAGUCAGGGGUGAAAUCCUGGAGCUCAACUCCAGAACUGCCUUUGAUACUGGCGAUCUUGAGUCCGGGAGAGGUGAGUGGAACUGCGAGUGUAGAGGUGAAAUUCGUAGAUAUUCGCAAGAACACCAGUGGCGAAGGCGGCUCACUGGCCCGGUACUGACGCUGAGGUGCGAAAGCGUGGGGAGCAAACGGG